GCCGGGUUGGCGGAAUGGUAGACGCGGCGCACUCAAAAUGCGCUGUCCGAGAGGGCGUGCGGGUUCGAGUCCCGCACCCGGCA
rnacentral:tRNA from 1 species